ACCAUGUGGCAUGUUUUAAUAUUAAAAAAAUUUAUCUUUUCUUCGAGAAGGAAAAAAUAGAUCUGCUCCCAUAUUCCACCCUCUCCCAGACAAUGGAUCUAUUUCAAGCUUCAACUCCCAAACUUCACCCUCUCCCAAACUGAAGCCUCAAUCAACAUUAGCUCCGUUCCAAGAAGGAAAAAAUAGAUCUUGGAAAUCAAUAAGUGACUAUCGGUUAUCAGACCAUUUGGGCUCUCAUUUUCAAGAAUUUCUCAAAGGCAUUCAAUCUAAACUCAGCAUCCAAUCGAGUGCUUUUAUCAGCGAAGAAAUCAAUCGGAUCAUCUCUUUCGAAAGCCCUUUAGGGAUCAUUAAUUACGAAUCGAUAUCCAUCUUAAAACCGAAUUUCUUAUCAUACUCAAUGUUAUAAAGAAUUUCUUGGAUUUUCUUACUGUUAUUUUUAUUGUAACUUUUUAUUUCUUGGUUCUCUAUAUUUCGGACUGGGCUCUCUUAUUUCUCUUUUCCCUUCAUUUUUAGACCCAGACCCACCCAAUUUCGGGCCCAGCCCGUAGCCCCUUGACCCAGCUCAGUGAAUCCUCCAUAACGGCGCCGUUUCAUCCAGCCUUAGGGCUUCACUUUCUUCCUUCUUUCUUUUCUCUCCCACCGCCGUGCACCUCUCUCCUUCACUUCAUUUUGUUUUCCUCCCCUGCUGCCGACGGCUCCUUCUUCCCCUUCUUUCCAUUUUAGUUUUUCCUCAUUUCUUUCUUCAAACCGGAGUGUGCUGCAGAGUUUUUCUUCAUUUUCGUUGGAUUUUGAUGUAGAUAAGGAGGAGGAAGUUGAGCCUGAAGAGGUGGCUCUGUCGGACUAUUGAAUUGGAGGUUCUUGUAGUAUUAGAAAUUAUUUUACUUGCCCUUAUAUUAUAUAUUUUGGAUUUGAGACAAUGUUGAAACUUGUAGUAUUUUAUAUGCUUGUUUUAAGCGAGUUUCUAUUUAAACAAAAUUAUGGUACUUAGUUGAAAGAUUUUUAUUACCCGUUGUGUUACUUUUGUAUA